UGCGAAGUGGAGCAGUUGGUAGCUCGCAAGGCUCAUAACCUUGAGGUCACUCGUUCGAAUCGAGUCUUCGCAA
rnacentral:tRNA from 1 species